CCGUAUCGGUAGUUGGUAGAUAAAGCUUACCAGCCAUUGACGCGUAGCUGGUGUGAGAGCAUGACCAGCCAGAAUGGGACUGAGACACGGCCCAUACUCCUACGGGAGGCAGCAGUGAGGAAUCUUCCGCAAUGGGCGAAAGCCUGACGGAGCCAUACCGCGUGCAGGAUGACACCUUUCGGGGCGUAAACUGCUUUUCUGAAGGAAUACAUUCUGAAGGUACUUCAGGAAUAAAGGUCGGCUAACUACGUGCCAGCAGCCGCGGUAAUACGUAGGACCUAAGCGUUAUCCGGAAUCACUGGGCGUAAAGCGAUCGAAGGCGGACCAAUAAGUCUGAUGUUAAAUACCCACGGCUCAACCGGGGUGCUGCGUUGGAAACUGUUGGACUAGAGUAAGACAGAGGUAGCUGGAAUUCUUGUUGUAGGGGUUAAAUCCGUAGAUAACAAGAGGAACACCAAAAGCGAAGGCAUGCUACUGGGUCUUUACUGACGCUGCGCGAUCGAAAAGCGUGGGGAGCGAAAGGGAUUAGAUACCCCUGUAGUCCACGCCGUAAACGAUGGAUGCUCGGCGUUCGGGUUUUAAUUGCCUGAGUGCCCAAGCUAACGCGUUAAGCAUCCCGCCUGAAGAGUUACGACCGCAAGGUUAAAACUCAAAGGAAUAGACGGGGAUCCACACAAGCGGUGGAGCAUGUGGUUUAAUUCGACAAUAAGCGGGGAACCUUACCAGGACUUGACAUCUUCGGAAUCUACUGGAAACAGUGGAGUGCCCUCGGGAACCGAAUGACAGGUGUUGCAUGGUUGUCGUCAGCUCGUGCCUUGAGGUGUUCGGUUAAGUCCGUUAACGAACGCAACCCUCGCCGUAUGUUG
rnacentral:rRNA from 1 species